AGGUCCUCAAUAAGUAUUUGUUGAAAGGAUAAAUGAACCAACAAGUCUUAUUUGAGCACCUGUUAUG
rfam:Tupaia chinensis contig194159, whole genome shotgun sequence.